CCGUAUAACAAUACUCCGAGAACUGAAAGGCUUUUUGAAGUCUUCGGAUGGAUAGAAGAACCCCUGAUGCCGUCGAGCCAAGAAAAGUUUCUAAGUUUAGCUAAUGUUGCCCGUACCGUAAACCGACACAGGUGGGUGGGAUGAGUAUUCUAAGGCGCGUGGAAGAACUCUCUUUAAGGAACUCUGCAAAAUAGCACCGUAUCUUCGGUAUAAGGUGUGGUUCGCUUCGUAUUAGGAUUUACUCCGAAAGCGAAGAAACUUACAACAAAGAGUCCCUCCCGACUGUUUACCAAAAACACAGCACUCUGCUAACUCGUAAGAGGAUGUAUAGGGUGUGACGCCUGCCCGGUGCUCGAAGGUUAAUUGAUGGGGUUAGCAUUAGCGAAGCUCUUGAUCGAAGCCCGAGUAAACGGCGGCCGUAACUAUAACGGUCCUAAGGUAGCGAAAUUCCUUGUCGGUUAAAUACCGACCUGCAUGAAUGGCGUAACGAGAUGGGAGCUGUCUCAAAGAGGGAUCCAGUGAAAUUGUAGUGGAGGUGAAAAUUCCUCCUACCCGCGGCAAGACGGAAAGACCCCGUGGACCUUUACUACAGCUUGACACUGCUACUUGGAUAAGAAUGUGCAGGAUAGGUGGGAGGCUUUGAGUAUAUGACGCCAGUUGUAUAUGAGCCAUUGUUGAGAUACCACUCUUUCUUAUUUGGGUAGCUAACCAGCUUGAGUUAUCCUCAAGUGGGACAAUGUCUGGUGGGUAGUUUGACUGGGGCGGUCGCCUCCCAAAUAAUAACGGAGGCUUACAAAGGUUGGCUCAGAACGGUUGGAAAUCGUUCGUAGAGUAUAAAGGUAUAAGCCAGCUUAACUGCAAGACAUACAAGUCAAGCAGAGACGAAAGUCGGUCUUAGUGAUCCGGUGGUUCUGUGUGGAAGGGCCAUCGCUCAAAGGAUAAAAGGUACCCCGGGGAUAACAGGCUGAUCUCCCCCAAGAGCUCACAUCGACGGGGAGGUUUGGCACCUCGAUGUCGGCUCAUCGCAUCCUGGGGCUGGAGCAGGUCCCAAGGGUAUGGCUGUUCGCCAUUUAAAGCGGUACGCGAGCUGGGUUCAGAACGUCGUGAGACAGUUCGGUCCCUAUCUGCCGUGGGCGUAAGAAGAUUGAAGAGAUUUGACCCUAGUACGAGAGGACCGGGUUGAACAAACCACUGGUGUAGCUGUUGUUCUGCCAAGAGCAUCGCAGCGUAGCUAAGUUUGGAAAGGAUAAACGCUGAAAGCAUCUAAGCGUGAAGCCAACUCUAAGAUGAAUCUUCUCUAAGCUCUCUAGAAGACUACUAGUUUGAUAGGCUGGGUGUGUAAUGGAUGAAAGUCCUUUAGCUGACCAGUACUAAUAGAGCGUUUGGCUUAUCUUUAAUAAAGCAU
rnacentral:rRNA from 1 species